rnacentral:rRNA from 1 species
CCCUUAGAUGUUCUGGGCCGCACGCGCGCUACACUGACGGAGCCAACGAGCACUUUCCUUGUCCGGAAGGACUGGGUAAUCUUGUGAAACUUCGUCGUGCUGGGGAUAGAGCAUUGCAAUUAUUGCUCUUCAACGAGGAAUUCCUAGUAAGCGUGAGUCAUCAGCUCGCGUUGAUUACGUCCCUGCCCUUUGUACACACCGCCCGUCGCUACUACCGAUUGAAUGGCUUAGUGAGCCUUUGGGAUUGGCAGCUUGUACCGGCAACGGUAGCAGGCCGCUGAAAACUUAGGCAAACUUGGUCAUUUAGAGGAAGUAAAAGUCGUAACA